UACGUAGGGUGCGAGCGUUGUCCGGAAUUAUUGGGCGUAAAGGGCUCGUAGGCGGUUUGUCGCGUCGGGAGUGAAGACACUGGGCUUAACUCAGUGCUUGCUUCCGAUACGGGCAGACUAGAGGUAUGCAGGGGAGAACGGAAUUCCUGGUGUAGCGGUGAAAUGCGCAGAUAUCAGGAGGAACACCGGUGGCGAAGGCGGUUCUCUGGGCAUUACCUGACGCUGAGGAGCGAAAGUGUGGGGAGCGAACAGG
rnacentral:rRNA from 1 species